rnacentral:sRNA from 12 species
GUGCACCAGCGUCCAAAUCUUGCCUUUGGCAUUUCCCUGUACGUUAGCGAUAAUCCGCGAGGUAGCAAUGUGUGCAACACCAUGGCGCGCCAAGUUCCCUGAUCAGGAGGCGCGGCGGGU